AUUGAUUCGCCAAGAGGAUUUAUAUAGAAAAUCAUCUUUUCCUUUGGUUUGAUUAUCUGGAACACAAUAGAAUACAAAAAAGUUUUUGAAUAAAAAUUUACAAAAAAAGAAAUACAUCAAAAUCUGGCUUACUGUUAGCGUCCAAUGGAAGUUUGCAACAAUACAGCACAUAACCAAUAAAGUUGUAGCAAUCCCAUCAAUAAUAGCUGCUGCGCCACCUUUAUCUGCAGGUGGUAAACAAAGGAUUUGUAGGUUUAAUAAUUAAGUAUGAAGCUAAAAUUUCAUUUAGCUAUUUUAAUUACUACUUUUUUUUAUUUUUAUACAUUUUUUUAAAGAAAUUUUAGUAU